AUGAAGUCGGAAUUGCUAGUAAUGGCAGGUCAGCAUACUGCCGUGAAUACGUUCCCGGGCCUUGUACACACCGCCCGUCACACCAUGAGAGUCGGGAACACCCGAAGUCCGUAGUCUAACCGCAAGGGGGACGCGGCCGAAGGUGGGUUCGAUAAUUGGGGUGAAGUCGUAACAAGGUAGC
rnacentral:rRNA from 1 species